CGUCUCCCGGACCCUGCAGACAGCAUCGAUCGCUCGCCGUCACGUACGCCGCAGCCGGACGCCUCAACCGCACCACUAUCCGCCCCCGUCCGAUGUAAACGCCGACGAAACGCCGCAGUAAGUAUAAUAAUAUUUGGUAUCGUAUAUUUAUACCGCGCCGCGUGAUUAUUAUUCGCAUUUUUUUUCUAACGCGUUAAUAUAUAUAUAUAUAUACACAAUUGGUAAUAACACUUGUAUCGUGCAUUCGAGCAGUCGUCGUCGUUUAUGGGAUUCGUCAGGCCCAAAGCGAAAUUUUUAAUAUUUUCAUACUGCGUUGUAUAUUAUAACUCGUAUUUUUUUAUUUUUUUUUCCCCCGAACUUAAUGCUCUCCAAAUUUAAGUAAAAAGCGCGGGGCCAAAAGCUUGAGCCCUGUUCCUUCCUCCUAAAAACACAGUCCUGCAUCUAUAUGCAUGCAAACCGUUUACUCGCAAAGUGAUGUAUAAUGUAAUUGCUGGUGUGGUAAAGGUACACACGAAUUCGGAACGAAAGAUUCGAGCACGAUUGCGGUACAGGUGCAGCGAUUAGAGAGAUGCGGUAAACCGCCAUUACAUAUGGGGUGAUCGACCUCUAAGAGACGGAAGGAAUGGUAAGCAGAGGUAAUAGGAUAUUAUUAUUUUUCGGGAUCGUCCCCGCCUUUUCAUACAUACACACAGACGCGUUUUUCUCGAACAUUUUCGAGCAAACUCAACGUAUAAAUUCUCGUUUCUUGCGUCGGCCGUUUCCGUCCUCAUUCUCGCUCUCCCGCCCUCUAGCGUACCACAGCAGCAACCGUCGGCCGUUUCCGUCCUCGUACACUAUGUACUUCUUGUCUAUUCUCCCCUCUCGUGCACCGACCUCCCCCUCGUAUACCGACUGGGGGUUGUAAUACCAGCAGCAGCAUCAGCAGUCUUGAUCAAUACCGCCACCGCCGUCGAAAUUCGCAAACGGUCCGAACCCGCCCACUGGAAUGGACGGGCGGCAUCAUCUCGCACAGCGUCCCGGACGCAUACGACGCCACCCGUCGAACCCAUACGUUCAUUUGAGUUCUGGCAGCCGAACCGUUUACAAUAUUUGUUUUCUUUUUAAUUUUUACGGUGUCUGUAAAAUUAAUAAUAUCCGCGUACCUUGAUGACAGAAUGUAAUCGAUAUUUUUCGGUUUUUUUUUAUAACAGCUUGUGAAUCUUUAUGUAUAUACCUAUUUAGGUAAUAUAGCUGGUAUGUACAACAAUGGCGAUCCAUCAUCAUCUCCAUUCUACCAAUUAUUAGCGACUACAGUGUAACGCAUCCGUGAUCUACCCUGUAGAUCCGGGCUUUUGUAGAAUUAUCGUUUAGUUCAGAAGCUCGUCUCUACAGGUAUCUUACGGAUGGAAGUUUACCCCGACCCGGCACGAAACUAAUAUACUCGGACAUACCAACGACAACGGAAACCGUGGACCGCCGACUACCUACAGUAUAGAGACAAUCGAUUCCUCUUAUUCCUUAUAUUAUGUGUUUAUCUUUCUGUAUUUAAGAUUAUAAAUGAUAUAAUAGCAUGAUGUUUUGUUUUAAUGUUUUUUUUUUUCAUUUGGAUACUUUGUUCUUUUUGAAAAUGUAUAAAUAUUUAAAAAAAAAAAACUGUACGUAUAUAAAUAUCUAUGCAUAUUUACGUUGCGUUAAUUGUGCGUCAUUCCAAUAAUAUUGUUUAAUAUUGUGUUUAACAGAAAUAUUAUCUUAUACAGAAUAUUUACCUGCGUCGGUAAGCAUAACGUUUUUAAUUUGACCUAAACCGGGUUAUCACUUUUUACGAAUAUAGUAAUCAUAAUGCAUUACAAUAAUAUACUUAAAUAUAAUUUCUUGAAUGUUGUGAAAUCAUGUUAGUUUUAUUGUUGUGCCUAUAACCCGUCUACUUUUUGGUAUUUAUUUACAAAUCUUUGAAAAACGAAAGAACGAUGUAAUAUUUUUUAUUUAGAUUUUGUUAAGCUAGAAUAAUUAUCACCUAUUAUUUUAUGACUCCUUUAUUUCUUUAGCACUUAUUAUUAAUACUCCCUUAGUUUUUCAACUUAAAGUUAAAACAGAGUCUGUAACCUUGUAAGAGAAUAUAUAAAUCACUAAUUUCAAAAAGAGGACAUGUUUAAAAACUUAAUUUUACAAAAGGCGCAAAAAACUGUCUAGGCAAGAUUGAGAAGCGGCUAGGCGCACAAAUUAAUAUGUCGAAUUAUUAUCCACAUUUUUAAAAAUUAAUCAUCUCGAUAUUUGUAACAGAAUCGUCAUGUUUAUUACAAUAUGAGUAGGUGGUAGGUGUACGCAUGUUAUUAUACGUAGUAUUAAUUAUAUAAAAAAAAAAAAACAUAAAUUACUACAAACUAUAACGACUUAUAUGUAAUAUUAAACAGAAAUUAAAUUAAAUUAAAUUAAAUUUCGUCUUGAUAUUAUAAUCGAAACUGAAUUUAAAAAUACCAUUAUCCUUAUUAAUCCUCAAUAAACCCUUUAAUCCCUUGAAUAGCUCACUGUUGAUAUAAUGUGAUAUUAUACCUUAUAUUACCUAUACAUAAAAACCGUAAUCUGUCUUUUGU